UACGUAGGGCGCGAGCGUUAAUCGGAAUUACUGGGCGUAAAGCGUGCGCAGGCGGUUAGAUAAGUUUGAUGUGAAAUCCCCGGGCUCAACCUGGGAACUGCAUUUGUGACUGCACGACUAGAGUACGGCAGAGGGGGGUAGAAUUCCACGUGUAGCAGUGAAAUGCGUAGAGAUGUGGAGGAAUACCGAUGGCGAAGGCAGCCCCCUGGGCCGAUACUGACGCUCAUGCACGAAAGCGUGGGGAGCAAACAGG
rnacentral:misc_RNA from 1 species